UACAGAGGUCUCAAGCGUUGUUCGGAUUCAUUGGGCGUAAAGGGUGCGUAGGUGGCUUGGUAAGUCGGGUGUGAAAUUUCGGAGCUUAACUCCGAAACUGCAUUCGAUACUGCCGUGCUUGAGGACUGGAGAGGAGACUGGAAUUCCCGGUGUAGCGGUGAAAUGUGUAGAGAUCGGGAGGAACACCGGUGGCGAAGGCGGGUCUCUGGGCAAUUCCUGACGCUGAGGCGCGAAAGCGUGGGGAGCAAACGGG
rnacentral:rRNA from 1 species